AUGGCUCGUGUCUGCUGUCUCCCUCUCUCUCUCCUCUCCCGAUACAGUCAGCUAUGUCUCUCAGUGCAUGGCUCGUGUCUGCUGUCUCCCUCUCUCUCUCCUCUCCAGAGACAGUCAGCUAUGUCUCUCAGUGCAUGGCUCGUGUCUGCUGUCUCCCUCUCUCUCUCCUCUCCCGAUACAGUCAGCUAUGUCUCUCAGUGCAUGGCUCGUGUCUGCUGUCUCCCUCGCUCUCUCCUCUCCAGAGACAGUCAGCUAUGUCUCUCAGUGCAUGGCUCGUGUCUGCUGUCUCCCUCUCUCUCUCCUCUCCAGAGACAGUCAGCUAUGUCUCUCAGUGCAUGGCUCAUGUCUGCUGUCUCCGUCUCUCUCUCCUCUCCAGAGACAGUCAGCUAUGUCUCUCAGUGCAUGGCUCGUGGCUGCUGUCUCCCUCUCUCUCUCCUCUCCAGUGACAGUCAGCUAUGUCUCUCAGUGCAUGGCUCGUGUCUGCUGUCUCCCUCUCUCUCUCCUCUCCAGAGACAGUCAGCUAUGUCUCUCAGUGCAUGGCUCGUGUCUGCUGUCUCCCUCUCGCUCCCCUCCUCAGACACAGUCAGCUAUGUCUCUCAUUGCAUGGCUCGUGUCUGCUGUCUCCCUCUCUCUCUCCUCUCCAGAGACAGCCAGCUAUGUCUCUCAGUGCAUGGCUCGUGUCUGCUGUCUCCCUCUCUCUCCUCUCCAGAGACAGUCAGCUAUGUCUCUCAGUGCAUGGCUCGUGUCUGCUGUCUCCCUCUCGCUCCCCUCCUCAGACACAGUCAGCUAUGUCUCUCAUUGCAUGGCUCGUGUCUGCUGUCUCCCUCUCCUCUCCAGAGACAGUCAGCUAUGUCUCUCAGUGCAUGGCUCAUGUCUGCUGUCUCCCUUUCUCUCUCCUCUCCAGAGACAGUCAGCUAUGUCUCUCAGUGCAUGGCUCGUGUCUGCUGUCUCCCUCUCUCUCUCCUCUCCCGAGACAGUCAGCUAUGUCUCUCAGUGCAUGGCUUGUGUCUGCUGUCUCCCUCUCUCUCUCCUCUCCCGAGACAGCUAUGUCUCUCAGUGCAUGGCUCGUGUCUGCUGUCUCCCUCUCUCUCUCGUCUCCAGAGACAGUCAGCUAUGUCUCUCAGUGCAUGGCUCGUGUCUGCUGUCUCCCUCUCUCUCUCGUCUCCAGAGACAGUCAGCUAUGUCUCUCAGUGCAUGGCUCGUGUCUGCUGUCUCCCUCUCUCUCUCCUCUCCAGAGACAGUCAGCUAUGUCUCUCAGUGCAUGGCUCGUGUCUGCUGUCUCCCUCUCUCUCUCCUCUCCCGAGACAGCUAUGUCUCUCAGUGCAUGGCUCGUGUCUGCUGUCUCCCUCUCUCUCUCCUCUCCACAGACAGUCAGCUAUGUCUCUCAGUGCAUGGCUCGUGUCUGCUGUCUCCCUCUCUCUCUCCUCUCCCGACACAGUCAGCUAUGUCUCUCAGUGCAUGGCUCGUGUCUGCUGUCUCCCUCUCUCUCUCCUCUCCAGAGACAGUCAGCUAUGUCUCUCAGUGCAUGGCUCGUGUCUGCUGUCUCCCUCUCUCUCUCCUCUCCCGAUACAGUCAGCUAUGUCUCUCAGUGCAUGGCUCGUGUCUGCUGUCUCCCUCUCUCUCCUCUCCAGAGACAGUCAGCUAUGUCUCUCAGUGCAUGGCUCGUGUCUGCUGUCUCCCUCUCUCUCGCCUCUCCAGAGACUGUCAGCUAUGUCUCUCAGUGCAUGGCUCGUGUCUGCUGUCUCCCUCUCUCUCUCCUCUCCAGAGACAGUCAGCUAUGUCUCUCAGUGCAUGGCUCGUGUCUGCUGUCUCCCUCUCUCUCUCCUCUCCAGAGACAGUCAGCUAUGUCUCUCAGUGCAUGGCUCGUGUCUGUUGAAGAACCAUCAUUACUCUACUCUUCUUUUCUCUCUCUCUCUCUGUCUCUCUCUCCUUUCUCUCUUCCUUGUCUUCCCUCUGUUGUCUCUCUGA
rnacentral:lncRNA from 8 species